UACGUAGGGGGCAAGCGUUGUCCGGAAUUAUUGGGCGUAAAGAGCUCGUAGGCGGUCUGUCGCGUCGGAUGUGAAAACCCAGGGCUUAACCCUGGGCCUGCAUUCGAUACGGGCAGACUAGAGUUCGGUAGGGGAGACUGGAAUUCCUGGUGUAGCGGUGAAAUGCGCAGAUAUCAGGAGGAACACCGGUGGCGAAGGCGGGUCUCUAGGCCGACACUGACGCUGAGGAGCGAAAGCGUGGGGAGCGAACAGG
rnacentral:rRNA from 1 species